rnacentral:rRNA from 1 species
GGGCCUUUUUGCUGCCGGCACAUGCAGUCGUACGAGUGUAGACCAAGCUUGCUGGGUGGAUCAGUGGCGAACGGGUGAGUAACACGUGAGCAACCUGCCCCCUACUUCGGGAUAAGCCUUGGAAACGAGGUCUAAUACCGGAUAUGAACACUUGUCGCAUGGCGGGUGUUGGAAAGUUUUUCGGUGGGGGAUGGGCUCGCGGCCUAUCAGCUUGUUGGUGGGGUAAUGGCCUACCAAGGCGUCGACGGGUAGCCGGCCUGAGAGGGCGACCGGCCACACUGGGACUGAGACACGGCCCAGACUCCUACGGGAGGCAGCAGUGGGGAAUAUUGCACAAUGGGCGAAAGCCUGAUGCAGCGACGCCACGUGAGGGAUGACGGCCUUCGGGUUGUAAACCUCUUUCAGCAGGGAAGAAGCGAAAGUGACGGUACCUGCAGAAGAAGCGCCGGCUAACUACGUGCCAGCAGCCGCGGUAAUACGUAGGGCGCAAGCGUUGUCCGGAAUUAUUGGGCGUAAAGAGCUCGUAGGCGGUCUGUCGCGUCUGGUGUGAAAUCCCAUGGCUCAACUGUGGGCUUGCAUCGGGUACGGGCAGACUAGAGUGCUGUAGGGGAGACUGGAAUUCCUGGUGUAGCGGUGGAAUGCGCAGAUAUCAGGAGGAACACCGAUGGCGAAGGCAGGUCUCUGGGCAGUUACUGACGCUGAGGAGCGAAAGCAUGGGGAGCGAACAGGAUUAGAUACCCUGGUAGUCCAUGCCGUAAACGUUGGGCACUAGGUGUGGGGCGGGUUCCACUCGUUCUGUGCCGCAGCUAACGCAUUAAGUGCCCCGCCUGGGGAGUACGGCCGCAAGGCUAAAACUCAAAGGAAUUGACGGGGGCCCGCACAAGCGGCGGAGCAUGCGGAUUAAUUCGAUGCAACGCGAAAACCUUACCAAGGGCUGACAUGUACGAGAAAGCCCCAAAGAAUGGGGUUCUCUUUGGGACACUCGUACACAGUGCUGCAUGCUGGUCGUCAGCUCUGGUCUGAAUGUUGGGUUAGUUCCG